rnacentral:rRNA from 1 species
UACAUGCGGGGCAAGCGUUGUUCGGAAUUACUGGGCAUAAAGGGUGCGUAGGCGGCGCGUCAAGUCACUGGUGAAAGUUUGCGGCCCAACCGUAAAAUUGCCGGCGAUACUGGCGUGCUCGAGUGCGUGAGGGGUUGGGGGAACGAGUGGUGUAGCGGUGAAAUGCGUAGAGAUCACUCGGAAGGCCAGAGCCGAAGGGGCCCAACUGGUACGCAACUGACGCUGAGGCACGAAAGCGUGGGGAGCAAACAGG